GAAACAAGUCGGGCCUCCUUGUGAUCACAACAUCUGCAAGAACUACUCCCACUACCAACCCACUUCCACAUCCGGCCGAAACAAUUUUCCAAUCAAAUUCAAAUAUGCCUUCUGAGCUAGAAUCACCUUCGUCGACGGUUGAAGGUGGAAGUUGAGGGGCCUUAGGAUUUCCACAUUUCUUUGGCAAUGGAUCUCCACACAACCCUGGGUUUCCCUCGUAUGAAGUGAAUUUCAAGGAAGUAAGUUGGGUUCCAAGGGAUGAUGUGAUAGAACCAGUGAGAAUGUUGUGGUAUAGAAUCAGUUUCACCCAAGGAAGGAAAAGUGGAGGUUGGUCUGAAAUGAAGUUUUGAGAAAUGGCCAACAAUACCAAAGUUUCUAUGGUUGUGUUCCACAUCCAUUUUGGUACUUGGCCUCGGAUUUUGUUUCUAGAAAGGUCCAAACGCUCCAAACUUUUCUAAUAUUGUAAGAAAGAUGGAAACUCUGUUAGGUUGCAAAAACUCAAUCCAAGAAUGGUGAACUGUGGAACUGUUGAAUUCACAAUUUAAUUGGAGUUGGUAAAGAAAUUGUAGAUUUUGAAACAUUUGAAACUCUACUACACCACACUCAGACUAUUCGAAUGUAGAUAAAGGAUCUGAAGGUUUGUGAGAUUUGAAAAAGAUGUGAGGUUUGCCAAGGAAUCAGGAAUCGGACCUCCAAAUCUGUUGAGUGAAAUGUCUAGAUCAGUGAGCUUCCUAAGAUUCCCAAGUGAAGAUGGAACCAACCCUUCCGAAAAAUUGCAUUGAGCCACAUCCAACUCUUGCAGUGAAUCAAGGUUUCUAAACGAAGAGGGUAUGUUCCCGAAAAACCUAGUAAAGGAAACUUUCAGAAGCAUGAGAGGACUACUUCGAUUAAAUUCAGGAAAAUAUCCAGUCAGAUCUUGGUUGUAUCUCACACUAAGAAUUUCUAGGUUUGGUAGUUGGAAAAUUCUCACAGGAAAUUCACCAAACAGGUGACAUCCCACGAUGGCUAGGGCAUUCAAAGAUGAUAAGUUAGCCAUUGAAUAAGGAAUUGCCGAAGAUAUGUUUACCAAACUGAGGGAAAGUACUUCGAGACUAGUUAAGUUUUGAACUAGGCUUCCAAACUGAGGUAGUAGGAAUUUGAGAGUAAUUGAAGUUAUUGUCAGAGAGGUUUAACCUUUGACAUCACUUUCAUCUCCAUUUUGUUUGUUAAAAGAUACGAACAAACGUUGACAUAACUUAAAACAAUACGAUGUAUAGGGCAUGGUCUUGACCUUGAACAACCAAUCAACUAGAAGCUAAAAAGCAGAAAUACAUUCUUUCUUUCUUUUUAAAAAAACCUCGACGGUACGAGGGAAAAUUUUAUUGAAUAAAAAAAAAGUUACACCUAAUCAGGAGGACAUAAACUUUACCCCUCAAAAUAAAGAGACAAUGAAGAAAAGAAAGCGAAAAUACAAGAAAGUAGGGGACAUACACUUACAUAACGGGAAACAAACUUAUAACUAAACGUAUAGGAAGAGAAGGAAAAAAACCACAACAAAGAAAAUAAACGACAACAACAAAUGCAUAACAUUGUAACGUACCCAAUUUCUAAGCCCCCCACUAGUACUCUAAAUUUUCCUUAUCAUUUGUCUGAUCAUUCCAACAAUCUUAAGAAACAAAUCGGGCCUCCUUGUAAUCACAACAUCUGCAAGAAUUACUCCCACUACAAACCCACUUCCACAUCCGGCCGAAACAAUUUUCCAAUCAAAUUCAAAUAUUCCUGCUGAGCUAGAAUCACCUUCGUCUACAAUUGAAGGUGGAAGUUGAGGGGCCUUAGGAUUUCCACAUUUCUUUGGCAAUGGAUCUCCACACAACCCUAGGUUUCCCUCGUAUGAAGU
rnacentral:lncRNA from 1 species